UCGCCAGGUAGCGUUUCUUGAACUCUCAGGAAUUUCAGGAAAGGAAAGAGAAGAGCUUUUCGGGUCGAGAUCCGGCGAAUAACUCCGUCGGGUUUCGUCCGCCCCUGAAUCCGCUUCCGUUCCGGUGCUCCGACCUGUCUCCUUCUCUUCUUUUCCUCCUCCCUCCUCCUCGCAGCUUUCCACAAUGAAAGGUUCCGGUACUCUCGUCGCCUCCAUGGUCGCCGCCUCUACCAUGGCUCUCUCCUCCACGUCUUCCUCUCCCUCCGCUCCGGGUUAUACCUCUGCGGGUGGAAAGAAUGGAGGACAGAGUUCGACUAAGGAGAAAUUCGAGCCGAGAUUCGACGGGCUGAGGUUCAUUGAGACGCUGGUCACAGCGCACAGAUGAAGGAUAAAGACCGCGGAUCCAAUUAAUGGUGAGGAGGAAUUGAUUAGUUUGUGAAAUCCGCAAAUUGGAAUUCAGAGAGAAUUUGUUUUUUUUUUUCUUUUUUAAAUUUGAAGACUUCUGAUGGUGUGAUUGGGUCGGUUUUGGUGUUUGGUAUGUUCUCAAUCUCAUAAUCUCUAACUAAGAAGCCUUAUUUGGGUGUUUCUUAGGGUCAUUUGUGAUCUCUGGCUUCUUUUGUUUACAACUCUGUAUUGUAUUUUCUCUUUGGAGAAAAUUAUUGGGGGUUUAAAUUGUAUAAAUAUUGUUUUGCCAACCCUUUAA